CAGACGAAUGUCGAUUACUAUAGUAUAAUGUAAAGUUUACACAUUAAGAAAUUUUUAUUUUUAUUAAAUAAUUGUUUGUGAUUAUCUACUGAGUCACUAAGAGAAACUCGCAUGAAGGUAAAAUUAAGGUAUAUACCUAAAAAUAUACAAUACUUUAUAAUAAAGUCAAUAAAAUAAUUAAGUAGGUAGGCAAUAAUUAGCCAGGUCCCCUAACGUUCGAUACAGUUAAUAUAAGUAGUAGUAAUAGUAAUUAUAGUUAUACAAUUAUAACUAUUAUAAAUAUUAAAUAUCAUCGUGUGAUUCAUUUGGUGGAAAGUAUCCAAGUCUGCAAAGCAAUUGAUUUUGAAAAGGAGAUCUAAUUGGCUGGAUGAAUUUUUUAUCUUUACAGAGAUAAUUUAAUUUAAUAGAUUUUUAUUUAAAAAACUGUUGAAAAUCCUGCAAAGUUAUAAUGACUCCAAAAAGAAUUAAUCAUAAAUAGUCAAUUGAUAAUACUACAUUGGAUUUGACAACACUUUUAAACAUCAUAAGUCCAUUGUACAAAUAUUCUUUGGAGGUGCAUAUUUUUUAAGUACUGUCUAAUUUACUGUACUGCUGAACUGCUGAACUGCUGAACUGCUGAUUUACUGAACUGGGACCAUAGCAGCCGUAUCAUAAGCAAAUCAAGUCCAAAUGAGCUGAAACUCUACAAGGACCAUUUAAAUUUCACCGCCACCACACCACCACAAUUCAACCACCAGACCACCUACCUUUAAUUUUUUAAAAAAAUUUAAAUAAACCUAAAGUUAUGAAAUUUUGUACACGACGUUAGUUGUAACAUAUUUAAGUGAAAUAAAAAUGUUGACACAAAAAACUUUUAUCACCGUUCAAGAAUAAAUUCCAUAUAUGUUAAUUCAGAAUAUCAAAAAUUAACUGAAAAAAAGUUUUGAAAAUAUGUUGCAAUAAAAAGGUGAAAAAGUUGAAAAACAUUAAAAAUGUUUAAGUUAAAAUAAUUGUUAUAAUUUUAUUAAAAUUGAGGAAUAAUUAAUAAUAAUUCAAUAAGAGAUAACUUAGUCUGUUUUAUUAAUUGCAUCUUAAAUAGAAAAUUCUUAGAAGAUGUUUAAUGAUACUAUCCAAUCAAACCUUUUUAAAUGUACAUAAAUAAUAUUUCUUAUAAAGUAAUAAUUGUAUAGCUUAAAACAACAAUAUACAUUUUAUUGAACCACAUGAAAAGACAAAAAAAAAGCAAAUAAGUAUUAUAAAUGUUUAUUGACAAUUAAUAUCAGAUACAGAAUGAAAAUAACUUGUGGAUGAUUGAUAAUGUUGUUUAUAGUUUCUGUAAUGUUAGCUAUAUGUGUAUUGUUCUUGGUUUCUUAUAUCAUGGCUAUUGGCUAUAAGAUUUGAUUCAUAUAGAGUUUGUGAAAUUCGUAACUUUGUUCCUUUAAAUAAGGAAGGUUGCCAACCCGGGUAUCUUUUUUAUCUGACCCAUGCAAUAUUUCAAAUUACUUGAUAAUAUUUUAGUGUUUAUUUAUACUUUAUUUUAUUAUGUAUUUUAACAAAACAAUAACAAUAAUAUUGUUUUAAUACUUUUCUAGAAAAAUAUUCUCCAGACGUUAUGAAAAAACAGUGGUAGUAAAUAUUAUGGAUGACUGCAAAGUGAUGGAUAGAAAAAAUCUGUGACAUCACUUUAAUUCAAAUCACUAUUUUUACCAUUGUUGAAUUGUUGAUAUCAAACCAAUGUCAAUGUUUUUUAAUAGAGUAGCCAAUAAUUUUUUCGAGUAAAAUCAUUAUCAACUAAUUCAAUAUAUUUAUGCUACCAUGUUAUUUAAAUUGACUAAUAUAUAAAUACAUAAUAACAUAACUACUUUAUCUACAUUUAAAAAGUUUA